GUUGAGUAGAGUAAUGUAACAUUUCCCUCAGAAGCCAGGUUGAGUAGAGUAACGUAACAUUUCCUUUAGAAGCCAGGUUGAGUAGAGUAACGUAACAUUUCCUUUAGAAGCCAGGUUGAGUAGAGUAACGUAACAUUUCCUUUAGAAGCCAGGUUGAGUAACUAACGUAACAUUUCCUUUAGAAGCCAGGUUGAGUAGAGUAACGUAACAUUUCCUUUAGAAGCCAGGUUGAGUAGAGUAACUAACGUAACAUUUCCUUUAGAAGCCAGGUUGAGUAGAGUAACGUAACAUUUCCUUUAGAAGCCAGGUUGAGUAACUAACGUAACAUUUCCUUUAGAAGCCAGGUUGAGUAGAGUAACGUAACAUUUCCUUUAGAAGCCAGGUUGAGUAGAGUAACGUAACAUUUCCUUUAGAAGCCAGGUUGAGUAGAGUAACUAACGUAACAUUUCCUUUAGAAGCCAGGUUGAGUAGAGUAACGUAACAUUUCCUUUAGAAGCCAGGUUGAGUAGAGUAACGUAACAUUUCCUUUAGAAGCCAGGUUGAGUAGAGUAACGUAACAUUUCCUUUAGAAGCCAGGUUGAGUAGAGUAACGUAACAUUUCCUUUAGAAGCCAGGUUGAGUAGAGUAACGUAACAUUUCCUUUAGAAGCCAGGUUGAGUAGAGUAACGUAACAUUUCCUUUAGAAGCCAGGUUGAGUAGAGUAACUAACGUAACAUUUCCUUUAGAAGCCAGGUUGAGUAGAGUAACGUAACAUUUCCUUUAGAAGCCAGGUUGAGUAGAGUAACGUAACAUUUCCUUUAGAAGCCAGGUUGAGUAGAGUAACUAACGUAACAUUUCCUUUAGAAGCCAGGUUGAGUAGAGUAACGUAACAUUUCCUUUAGAAGCCAGGUUGAGUAGAGUAACGUAACAUUUCCUUUAGAAGCCAGGUUGAGUAGAGUAACUAACGUAACAUUUCCUUUAGAAGCCAGGUUGAGUAGAGUAACUAACGUAACAUUUCCUUUAGAAGCCAGGUUGAGUAGAGUAACGUAACAUUUCCUUUAGAAGCCAGGUUGAGUAGAGUAACUAACGUAACAUUUCCUUUAGAAGCCAGGUUGAGUAGAGUAACUAACGUAACAUUUCCUUUAGAAGCCAGGUUGAGUAGAGUAACUAACGUAACAUUUCCUUUAGAAGCCAGGUUGAGUAGAGUAAUGUAACAUUUCCUUUAGAAGCCAGAUUGAGUAGAGUAACUAACGUAACAUUUCCUUUAGAAGCCAGGUUGAGUAGAGUAAUGUAACAUUUCCUUUAGAAGCCAGGUUGAGUAGAGUAACUAACGUAACAUUUCCUUUAGAAGCCAGGUUGAGUAGAGUAACUAACGUAACAUUUCCUUUAGAAGCCAGGUUGAGUAGAGUAACUAACAUAACAUUUCCUUUAGAAGCCAGGUUGAGUAGAGUAACGUAACAUUUCCUAUAGAAGCCAGGUUGAGUAACUAACAGAACAUUUCCCUCUCU